GGCAUGUCUGGCUUCCUCAUGCUGUGUGCUGUGGCUUAAGAAUAUACUUUAUGUGACAUGAAGCUAGCUUUUCUUUCAUAAUAAAAUAGUCCAGUAAUCAUGAGUACAUAUAAACAAAGCUCCACUGAAUGAUGAGUCUGGCAGCAGGAGGGGACCAAUGUUGACCUUGUUAGCAUGUGGUGAAAGGGCUUUGAUUGGCUUAUUAAAAUGUCAGUGUAAUUUGGUUUCAAUUUUUUUUUUUCAGGCUGUGGACACCAAGGAUUUACUAAGAGCAAGCCCACUCACGGAACUGGUAAACUCUGAAGGACCUGCAGGUGAAGACAAGCAUGACAAGGCUGGGACAAGUGAUGAGCUGCGACAUCAUCUCAUACUUUCCUGG
rnacentral:lncRNA from 12 species